rnacentral:rRNA from 1 species
UCUCUUACCCAUGUCUUUUGAGUACCUUACGUUUCCUCGGCGGGUCCGCCCGCCGACUGGACAAUUUAAACCACUUGCAGUUGCAAUCAGCGUCUGAAAAAACUUAAUAGUUACAACUUUCAACAACGGAUCUCUUGGUUCUGGCAUCGAUGAAGAACGCAGCGAAAUGCGAUAAGUAGUGUGAAUUGCAGAAUUCAGUGAAUCAUCGAAUCUUUGAACGCACAUUGCGCCCCUUGGUAUUCCAUGGGGCAUGCCUGUUCGAGCGUCAUUUGUACCUUCAAGCCUUGCUUGGUGUUGGGUGUUUGUCUCGCCUCUGCGCGUAGACUCGCCUCAAAACAAUUGGCAGCCGGCGUAUUGAUUUCGGAGCGCAGUACAUCUCGCGCUUUGCACUCAGAACGACGACGUCCAAAAGUACAUUUUUACACUCUUGACCUCGGAUCAGGUAGGGAUACCCGCUGAACUUAAGCAUAUCAAUAAGCGGAGGAGG